UACGGAGGGAGCUAGCGUUGUUCGGAAUUACUGGGCGUAAAGCGCACGUAGGCGGCUUUGUAAGUUAGAGGUGAAAGCCCGGGGCUCAACUCCGGAACUGCCUUUAAGACUGCAUCGCUUGAAUCCAGGAGAGGUGAGUGGAAUUCCGAGUGUAGAGGUGAAAUUCGUAGAUAUUGGGAAGAACACCGGUGGCGAAGGCGGCUAUCUGGACCGACAUUGACGCUGAGGCGCGAAAGCGUGGGGAGCAAACAGG
rnacentral:rRNA from 1 species